CGGNGAAAAGAACAACUGGGAUUCCUGAGUAACGGCGAGCGAAAAGGGAAGAGUCCAGCGCCGAAUCCCGCACUAUUGUGGUGCCGGGAAAUGUGGCGUUUGGGAGUGAGCGUACCGGCGGUUGAACCAGCAGCAAGUCCCCCUGACCGGGGCUCUUUCCCAGAGUGGGUGCGAGGCCCAUAGCUGCAGGAACUCCGCCGGUUGCGAUCUCCUUGGAGUCGGGUUGUUUGGGAGUGCAGCCCUAAUCGGGAGGUAAACUCCUCCUAAGACUAAAUACUGCCGUGAGACCGAUAGCAAACAAGUACCGUGAGGGAAAGUUGCAAAGAACUUUGAAGAGAGAGUUCAAGAGUACGUGAAACUGCUCAGAGGAAAACGGGUGGGCCCUCGAAAUCCUGUGGCGGGAGGAUUCAGUCGAGCGGUUCGGAGUGGAGCGCCUGUACUUUCAGAGUGGUACCCUUCACGGGCCAACGGGUGCUCCGAUUUCGUUCCACCGACGCAUUUCUUUCCCGCCCGAAGGACGCCGCAACCGGUUGGCGGAACGGCCUUGAGUGUGGAUGCCGGCAGUUGGCCGGUGGUACUCCGUCAGGGGUCCGCCGGUUGUUAGCCUUUUCGCACGGGCCGAACCCCGACCGUGGUCGAAGGGGCCCUUUCUUGGGCCUCGACGCCUCCUCCGUAAAACGACCGCGAGCGGAASCGGCAGGUGAGGCUCUGUGAACGCGGGCGCACGGACACACUCCGUGGCCCGUCGGNCCUCUGUCCCCGCUGGCCGACCUUCGGACUUCGUGGNAGAGCUGGCGGUUUCNGCGAGNAGUAGNUCNNNNCACCCUCGAUAAAGCCCAAAGGCGCAAUGAAAGCAAAGGUCUACCAAGGCCCAGUUGGGAUCCUCCCUCCUCCGCGGGGGAGGCGCACCAACGGCCCGUCCCGUCCGACUUGUUCGGUGUGGCGGAGCUCGAGCACACACGUUGGGACCCGAAAGAUGGUGAACUAUGCCCGGGCAGGACGAGGCCAGAGGAAACUCUGGUGGAGGUCCGCAGCGGUUCUGACGUGCAAAAUCGAUCGUCGGACCCGUGUAUAGCGGCGAAANGACUAAUCGAACCAUCUAGUAGCUGGUUCCCUCCGAANGUUUCCCUCAGGAUAGCUGGCGCUCUGAGCGAAUCAGUCUCAUCCGGUAAAGCGAAUGAUUAGAGGCCUUGGGNCCGAAACGACCUCAACCUAUUCUCAAACUUUAAAUGGGUGAGACUCGCUGCAUGACUGAGGSCGGACGAUCGAGAUGAGAGUGCCCAGUGGNCACUUUUGGUAAGCAGAACUGGCGCUGUGGGAUGAACCAAACGCCGGGUUAAGGCGCCCGAUGCGAGACGCUCAUGAGACCCCAUGAAAGGUGUUGGUUGCUCUAGACAGCAGGGUGGUGCUCAUGGAAGUCGAGAUCCGCUAAGGAGUGUGUAACAACUCACCUGCCGAAGCAACUAGCCCUGAAAAUGGAUGGCGCUCCAGCGUCGAGCCCAUACCCGGCCGCUGCCGGCAAAACUCCAACAGGAGGUUUACGCCGCAGUGAGUAGGAGGGUCGCAGCGGUGAGCGUUGAAGGUGCCGGGCGCGAGCCCGCCUGGAGCCGCCGCUGGUGCAGAUCUUGGUAGUAGUAGCAAAUACUCAAGUGAGAACCUUGAGGACUGAAGUUGGAGAAGGGUUCCAUGUGAACAGCAGUUGAACAUGGGUCAGUCGGUCCUAAGGGAUUGGAGAAAUCCGUUCCGAAGCGGGACUCUGUCAAUAACAGUGGCUCGUCCCGCUCAAGACCGAAAGGGAAUGGGGUCAAUAUUCCCCAACCCGGACACGGAGAUGGAGCCCUCGGGCUCAAGUGCGGUAACGCAACCGAACUCGGAGACGUCGACGGAGGACCCGGGGAAAGAGUUGUCUUUUCUUUGUAAGAGUUCGUGUCCCUGGAAUCGGCUCGUCCGGAGAUAGGGACGCUGUCCUCGUAAAAGCUCCGCGUCUCU
rnacentral:rRNA from 1 species